UUUUCUCAAACUUGCCUUUGAAAAAGGUGUUUCAGAGUAGAGAGAGCCUCUCAGGUUUUGUUGGGACAAUGACUGCACAAUUCCUAUUACAAUAUUGGAGAACAGAAAGGAACUGACGUCAAUUCCUGAUAAUUUUUCCACUUGGUGUCUGAUUUUCUCUGUACUUCACUUUCUACAGAGUUCCAGAGCCAACAUCAUCUCUACCGGCUCUGAAAUCUCUGCAUUUCUUUGCUGCACAACAGAGGCAUGCCCCUGUGUUCCUAUGGGCAGAAUUCACCUUCAGUCAGUAAUUCUUUGCAGCCAAGUUUGGACAUUAAAAUGAGCAUUGCAGGCAGAAGACAAAAAUGUCAAAGAUCACUGAGAGAAACUAAUGACCUGGCUCUGGACAGGACCACAGGGCCUCAGAAUGACACCAUUUUCCAGAGCUGAACAUGACAAUGACUUAGUAAUGCCUGUCUGCAGCAGAAGAACAAGCCAAAAAGGGACACAGGGAUGGGCCCGACAGCACGCCACGGAUCCCGACUCCUCCGCCUUGGCUCUGCCUGCUGGAGCGGCCGCGGCAUCCACAGCUCCCCUCCGGAGGAAAAAGUGGGACUGGUGGAGACAAUCAUUGGAUUCUCAGCAUUUUCUCUGGCAGUUCUUGGACCGGCUGGAUGGUUCCUGUACCACCUUCCAAGCUAUAAAGAGAAAUAGAAAACAUCCUUUCAAAAUUAAGAUCUGGAGGCUGCGAUAAGCCAUAAUACCCCUGACUUGGAAUUUCUUGAAAGGGAGCACACAGGCAAAUGAGGGCCAGUUUAAAAUGAAAUGACUGAAAAAUGAGUUCAAGUUUUAUGUAUGCCACAUUGCUUCUGUAUGAAAAAAGUCCAGAUAGGGAACACAACUGACUACAGCUCCAGUUCUGCAGAACUCAGUGUUCACACACUGGGAUUAGUCCUGAGGGACCACUCACAGGUAGAAAGCUGUACUCCUUUGCAGAUACUGUAGAACUGGAUCCUGAUAUAAAAUGACACGGUGAUAUAAAAUAGGGAUAGGGUUACUCUUCUGCCUUCUGCUAAACAAAUUGGAGAAAACAUCAUGAAAUCAUUUAUAUAUAUAUAUAUAUAUACAAUUUACAUAGUUUUUAUAGUUAUAUAUUAGUACUUUCAUUUACAUUCAUCUCAGAUGAAAGCUCCAAGAGUUAAAGAUUAUUUCCUUGAAAGUUUUGUUUUUGACCUUUAGAUGUAUUCUUUUGGUGGCCUCCCACCUGAUGUGCUACCAGAACAGAUGUUUUUCUGCUGGCCAUGAUUGUCAGAUGCUUGAAUCUAUUUUCAGUCUUCAGAUCUAAAUUUGUGAUAUUUGAAAGAUUUUGCUGUUUUGAUGUUUAAAAUAAAUGCUAUGAUAAAAACCUUGAAAUCUACA
rnacentral:lncRNA from 1 species